GAUGAACGCUGGCGGCGUGCCUAAUACAUGCAAGUCGAGCGAAUGGAUUAAGAGCUUGCUCUUAUGAAGUUAGCGGCGGACGGGUGAGUAACACGUGGGUAACCUGCCCAUAAGACUGGGAUAACUCCGGGAAACCGGGGCUAAUACCGGAUAACAUUUUGAACCGCAUGGUUCGAAAUUGAAAGGCGGCUUCGGCUGUCACUUAUGGAUGGACCCGCGUCGCAUUAGCUAGUUGGUGAGGUAACGGCUCACCAAGGCAACGAUGCGUAGCCGACCUGAGAGGGUGCGCGGCCACACUGGGACUGAGACACGCCCCAGACUCCUGCGGGAGGCAGCAGUAGGGAAGCUUCCGCAAUGGACGAAAGUCUGACGGAGCAACGCAGCGUGAGUGAUGAAGGCUUUCGGGUCGUAAAACUCUGUUGUUAGGGAAGAACAAGUGCUAGUUGAAUAAGCUGGCACCUUGACGGUACCUAACCAGAAAGCCACGGCUAACUACGUGCCAGCCGCCGCCGUAA
rnacentral:rRNA from 1 species